AAUCUCACCGGAAAAAUCCAAGCAAAACCGGCCAAACUUAACCCUCGUGAUCCCGACGUCCAAAUCCUUCCAACGAAGCACUCCGAGCUUCCUUGGGACCUCACUAAGCUCGCUGUGAUCUUGUUUUAGCCUAAAUCGUAACCAUUUAAAAGAUCAUGAACAGUACAUAAACACGGGACCUUAAAAACUAGGGUUUUCCGAAGCAAAACUUACCUGAAAUGGAUACCAUCGUGAUCGUGAAGUCUUCAGGGUUCCAAUGGUGGUCUUAGAUUCGUCGUUGGUAUAGAUUUAGGGUGGUUUUGUGGUGGUCCGUGUGAGUUCGAAUGAGAGGGAGAGAGAACUGAGAGUUUCGUGAGGGAGGAGAGAGAGAGUGACAAGGUACGGGAAUUGGGGAAGGUUUUGAGGGAUGUGGGAUCCCCCCGUGUCCAACUCAAUCUCAAUUUCAAACUUUUAACAUAGAGUCUUGGUUUAGGUUUCUAAAACCAAUUAAUAUUCCAAUUCACCAAAGUUUAAGAACCUUAAGUAAAAACAAGUGUCCAAAUUACGUACUUUAGUCCCGUUUAGGGACAUUUUCGUAACUUCACGUCCUCGGAAUUAAAAAUUCCGGGACGGGCUGUGACAAUCUUCCCUCCUUAUAGAAUUUCGUCCCCGAAAUUCCAGCAAUCAACUAAAUCAACCAUACUCCAACAAUAGCCUCAAAUAAAUCUCUCUCAUCCGAUUCUCUUUCUCCCACAUAAUUUUCUACUGAAUGAUUUCCUUCACAAGCUUUUACCACUAUUCUGUCUUAAUUCUCAGGACCUUCUUUUUCCAAUCCCAAGUCGUCCAUAGCUCCUUACUAAUCAGAUCCGGCUUAAUUCUCAAUAGUUGCACCAAAGUCCCAUGUAACGACUCUGCCACUUAGUGACAACGCAUCGAACACAAAAUACAUUAUGUGCCUUAGCCAAUUCUGAAGGCAUCACAAACUUGUAUGCAACUUCGUCGAUUCCUUUAAUGAUCAAAACGGACUGAUGUGUUCAAGACUUAUCUUGUCUCCCUUUCUGAAUCUUACUAUUUCUGUUCAUGGUGAAAUUUCCAAAAAUAUCAAACCAUUUACCUUACACACUUGAUUAGUGGCAUAUCCAUCUGUUAAUCUCUUUUGUCAUUCCUGGCUACUUUCAGGUUAACUUACUCACCUGAAUAUUUUGAGGAGACUCAUCCAUAGUCUCAGGGCCCGCAAGAACUCUUUUGACAACUUCUGUCCAACACAAAGGUGUACUAUAAGGUAACUUGGUAACCAAGCUUCUUGUACGCUAUCCAAAACUUAGAAGUAACCAACAUACUCAAAAACUUAACAGUGUACAUCGUCAAAAUUGCUUUCUUUAAUUCCACAUAAUUUGGCACAUACGUCCCAUUCUCUUGCAUAAACAUACCAUCCAAUUCUGCCUCGGUUAAUUCUUGAAUUCCUUCGUCAAGCAUUUGAGUCUCGAGUACGACCUUACCAAAUAGGCCUAACUUGAAAUUUAACAAGUACAACUUCUUCUCGAUCUUCCAUUCUUAAUUUUUUUUUUCCGUUGGUUUUCAAUCCCCAAGAUGAUACUCUUGGCAAACAUGCCAGACAUUAAUCUUACUGUAGUCUUCUCACCAAGUGCUUCAGCUAGAACAAACUUUACGAUCACCCUGAUCGUACAAUCAUGUUCAUUAAGCAAUACAAGUCACAUUCGCUGCCUCAUAUCAAAAUCCUUCCGAGUAAUGAAUAUUGAAGACUUUUUGGAUUCGUAAAAAUCUUGCAUUCUUACCAAAUAUAAUGCCUUCAUAACUUCACAGCAAGAAUGGUAAUCAUGACUUCCAAGUCACCCGUAGGGUAAUUCAUCUCAUGAGAUUCCAUUUGUCAUGAAACGUAUGCAAUCACCCUAACAUUUGCAUCAACAUGCCUCCAAUACCAUUCAAGAAACAUCACUAAAAAUUUAUGAUUACCACUAUCUUCUAGGAAUACCAAAAUACGUGCAUGAGUGAGGAAAUACUUCAGUUGUUGAAUCCUUUGCUCACAAUUUCCUUCCCACUCAUACAUGACCUCUUUUCUCAACAGUCUCGUCAAUGACAAAGCAAUGACUGAAAAAUCUUUCACAACCAUCCAAGAUAGCCUGGUAAGCUAAGAAAUUCCAAAUCUCAAUUACGACUCGUGGUUGUUCCAAAUUUUAAUUUCUGUUACCUUUUAAGGUUUCACUUGAAUACCUUAAGAAUAUAUAACAUAUCCCAGAAAUGCUGCUUGAUUCAUCCAACAUUCGCAUUUGCUAAACUUAGCAUACAAUCGACAUUCUUCCAAUCUUUGUUCUACCGACUUAAUACGUUUACAUGCUCUGCUCUGGCUCAGAAUAUGCCAGAAUAUCUUCAAUGAAAAUGAUAUCUAUUUAUCAAGGCAUUAUUGGAAUACUUCAUCCAAUAAUUCAUAAAACAGCAUGAGUAUCCAUAUAGCAUCACCAAAUUUCAUAAAAACUAUAACGAGUCCAGAAAAACAAUCUUAGGAACAACGUUACUCAUAAUCUUCAAUUGAUAAUAAACAGACCUCAAGAUCCAUUUUCUUCCUCACCAACAAAUUGGGGCUCCUCAAAAGUGUUGUACUAGGUUGAAUAAAACUUUUAUCAACCAAUUCUCUCAACUGAAUUUCCAAUUCCCUUAACUCAUCAUGAACCAAUCUUUAACAUAAAUUUAUACCUGGCAACAAUUCAAUAGUGAACCUCAUAUCUCUGCCUGAAGGCAAUCCAGGUAUACUUUCAAGGAAGACAUCAAGAAAAGUCUAACUCUUUCGACAUUAUUCACACUACUCCAAACAACAUCAUUUAGCACCACAUGAGCUAAGUAUUUUUGACAGCCUUUCGAAAACAAUCUCUUUGCUCUCACAGCAUAAAUAAUGGCUGAACUCAAUCCACUUUGCAUACUUACAAAAGUAAUCUCUGGUCAUCCAGAUCGAUGGAAAGUACUGGUUUCCCUUAACAUUCCGUCUUGUCACAAUUAUAACCAACCAAUCUAAUGGAACAGAAUUAACUGAUACAAUACAUACUCUAUUACUACUAAGCAUUCUGAAUAAGUACAACACUAACAUAAAAUAACCUACCGGUUUGCUUGCUUAAUGAAUCCACGAAUGAGUUAUUAAUAUUACGGUCUGCAGCCCGCAAUACUGAUAAAUCAUCGUUGUCUCAAUAAGUAGGCAACCACUCUCAAAGAUAUAACAUUACUAAUUUGUCACUCAAUGCAAAAUACAUACACUCGUCUCAACUACAUUUAUUUACUACUCUUUAGGUAAUAACAUACAUAAUAAGAAAUAUAUCAGCCGAAGUCAACUAGAAUGACCAAUACGGCUGAUUCAACUCUUAUCUCAAUAAUACGUCGGCCGGAUCCACUCCGCGUGGUCGGUACGGCCGAGCCUAUAACUCACCAAUUUCUCAUGCGUCAGCCAGAUCCACCUCUCAUGGUCUGUACGGCUGAACAUAUAACUCAUCAAAUCUCUCUGUACCCACGGUCAAUCCGACCAAACUACUAAGUCCAUAAACCUGCUGAAUUGAUACUACGAUGUCAUAGAAAAUUGUUGGGUACAACUGAUUUUAGGGACGAUUCACAAUUCUGUGUCCCCUCUGUUCACAUAAACACAUUUAUUAAUUUCACACUUCCCAAAGUGUUAAUUUUUGUACCUGCUGCACAAGGUACAUUUCCUUUACUCGAAACACCUUGUCUCAAAUAUCUGGGAUUACCAGUAUAUCCAUCACUUUUACUCUGACCAGCGACAUUAAAACCUCAGCUGGAAGAAUUAAUUCUAGCUUCACUUCUUUCGAAGCUCUGAAUCUUUCUAUAUCCUUGAUAUGACGAAUCAUUAACUUUAUCGUCAACUUCCUUGAUUCACAUUUGCAAACUCUUGCUUACUACCAUCGAUAAAUGCCGGAGGGAUAAACUUUUCCUUAAACAAGUCCUUAAACAAUUCUCAAUCGACUAUUCCUCCGGUGACAACAAAUCAUACUCCUGUUUCCACCAGUAUACAAAUUCAUACCCAAAACCAGGUAGUCGUCUCGACCCCCUGUCAGAAGGAAGAUUCCUUUGACUUGCAUAAUCUGAAACAUCUUUUCCAAAUGGUUAAACCGUUACUUCGCUCCCUCAGGUUCAUCAUUUCAUAAGGUGAUUCAAAUUCGACUCAUAACCCGUCUUAAAAUGUCCCUUUAGACAAUAGACUGAAUCACCAUAGUAAUAGUUUCCCCCUAAACCGCUAAAUCAGGGAGACUAAGUUCCUCUAACUACGUGGCUUGCUACGAGGCGGUGUAGUUCUGACAGAAUUCACUAGAACUUCUCAAAAUGUCCAAGAUUGCAACCAUGCUCUGAUACCAACUGACACACCCCGUCCCGAAGGAGGGCAUGCUGGCCGUCACGUGAGAGUGACGUAACCAUUUGCACAGUACGGAAGCUUUAAGAUACAAUUUAUAAGUUGAUACACCCGAAGGUGAGUCCUAAUUUUGUCCAAUCUGUCAGAACACCGUCGAAUUCCUCGUAGUCACCACACCUUUGUGAUUCCUGAACCUGGAGGGGCGCAAAACCAAAAUUGAGUGGGUCAGUAAAACAAUUCUUUUCCAAAUCCAAACAUUUCUCAAAACGUUGUAACCCCUCUCCGUAAAACCUGUAUACUUUCCCAGAAAUGUAAAAUAUAAAUAUACAUAUAUAUUCUCAAUACUUCAAUUCAUUAACUCAACAUUUUUCAGUACAAAUAUGCCAUGCCAUGUCGGAAUUCAACAGUUAAUUAUGGAUGCAUCAACAAUAAUCAUAUCAGGUGUAAGAAAGUGAUCAACCGGAGGCCCUCUAAUAGCCCUGUACGGUUGAACCUAGAGCUCAAAAUCUAUCACUAUCACUCUGCCGGAGUCACCUCUGUGACCUGUACGGCCUUCUGCACAUAAGUUACGCUCUAGUGCUUUCUCAUUAAUCAUCUGUGCACAUAAUCUAAGGUCACCCACCAGUCGAAAUCUCACUAACACUCUUCGACUGGCCCGUCGCACCCACUCCGCGUGGACUGUGCGACCAGCAUCUACUUGGAUCCAAGGCGAGCGUGCGAUGCGGUGAAUACUAUAAGCACUAAACUAUGGUGCAGGAUUUGAGCUCAAUAUACAUCAACAUCAUCAUAUCAGUAUUUAAAUACUCACCUGAUACUCACCUGUGCGUCCGCCGCACCAUUCAUUCAUAUGCAUCAUAUCUCAAUUCAUACUUUUCAUAUCAUUUCAUGCAUGGCAAUUCGAUUCACAUUUCUAUAUACUAUGCAUAUACUUUUAUGCAUGGCAUCUCAAUUCACAUUUCAAUAUACUUUUCAUAUAAUUUUAUACAUUGCAUUUAAAGCAUAAUUUCAUGCAUUUUCAAUUUCUGGGAAAACGGUAAGUAUAGUAUAUAUGUAUACGGAAAAACAAAACUGCCCUCACUCCUGGAGUUUCGCCCUACAACUCCCUAGCACAAUACGCCAAAGCGUCAUGACGAUCGGCGCCUAAAACAAUAAUCAAUUCCAACCUCAGAAUUCAUAUCGAUAGAAUAUAUAACUUAUACAAAAUACGUCACUACGUAGUUCAAUCCGGAAGAUCCACCACUCAGAUUUUAAAUCCAUAACUUCCAGAGGUCCACAAUAUAUCUCUAGGAUAACUUCCUAAAAUUUCAUUACCAUCCAACGGUCGGAUCUCCGUCAAUUUCCAAAACUAAGUGACGGUUAACAUUUUAUUUUAUGAACUUACAACUCCAAUUCCGGAAGAUCCGUAACUCGGAUUCCCAAUCCGUAAGUUCCAAUAAUCCUCAAACAUUACGUAUUGCAACGUAUUAAAUUUUGGUAACGAUCCAACGGUCGGAUCAUCAAUUCACAUUUUCACCUAAUGCGAAAACUAUAAAACGUUAUUCGAACACCUAACCAACAAUCCUUAAUAACUUUCUCAUACGGUGCUCAAUUUGGGUAUAUGAAUAUACCACAGUGAUCUACUCGACGUCACGGACGUCGACAUAUUUUUAAAAUAAUAUUUUAAUGUAUCACGCGCCCCCACGCGCCAAGGAAGGCACGGGUCCACGCGCGCCCACGCGCACCUUCUUCCUCGCGGGUUCGCCGGACUGGUUUUUCCGGUGGCCGGAAAACUGGGGAAUUUUCAAAUGCUUCGUUCUCCUUCGUUUCUCAACCAUUUUCUUCGUAUAAUAUAUCAAUUUAAAGCCCUCAACAUGUAGAAUCACAAUAUACUACUUUUAAGCUUCAAAAACAACUAAAUCUCACCGGAAAAAUCCAAGCAAAACCGGCCAAACUUAACCCUCGUGAUCCCGACGUCCAAAUCCUUCCAACGAAGCACUCCGAGCUUCCUUGGGACCUCACUAAGCUCGCUGUGAUCUUGUUUUAGCCUAAAUCGUAACCAUUUAAAAGAUCAUGAACAGUACAUAAACACGGGACCUUAAAAACUAGGGUUUUCCGAAGCAAAACUUACCUGAAAUGGAUACCAUCGUGAUCGUGAAGUCUUCAGGGUUCCAAUGGUGGUCUUAGAUUCGUCGUUGGUAUAGAUUUAGGGUGGUUUUGUGGUGGUCCGUGUGAGUUCGAAUGAGAGGGAGAGAGAACUGAGAGUUUCGUGAGGGAGGAGAGAGAGAGUGACAAGGUACGGGAAUUGGGGAAGGUUUUGAGGGAUGUGGGAUCCCCCCGUGUCCAACUCAAUCUCAAUUUCAAACUUUUAACAUAGAGUCUUGGUUUAGGUUUCUAAAACCAAUUAAUAUUCCAAUUCACCAAAGUUUAAGAACCUUAAGUAAAAACAAGUGUCCAAAUUACGUACUUU
rnacentral:lncRNA from 1 species